AUUGAACGCUGCGGCAUGCCUUACACAUGCAAGUCGAACGGCAGCAUGAUCUAGCUUGCUAGAUUGAUGGCGAGUGGCGAACGGGUGAGUAAUACAUCGGAACGUGCCCUGUAGUGGGGGAUAACUAGUCGAAAGAUUAGCUAAUACUGCAUACGACCUGAGGGUGAAUGUGGGGGACCGCAAGGCCUCAUGCUAUAGGAGCGGCCGAUGUCUGAUUAGCUAGUUGGUGAGGUAAAGGCUCACCAAGGCGACGAUCAGUAGCUGGUCUGCGAGGACGAUCAGCCACACUGGGACUGAGACACGGCCCAGACUCCUACGGGAGGAAGCAGUGGGGAAUUUUGGACAAUGGGGGCAACCCUGAUCCAGCAAUGCCGCGUGUGUGAAGAAGGCCUUCGGGUUGUAAAGCACUUUUGUCCGGAAAGAAAUCGCACUUACUAAUAUUAGGUGUGGAUGACGGUACCGGAAGAAUAAGGACCGGCUAACUACGUGCCAGCCGCCGCAGUAAAAC
rnacentral:rRNA from 1 species